UACAGAGGGGGCAAGCGUUAUUCGGAAUUAUUGGGCGUAAAGGGCGCGUAGGCGGCUUUGCAAGUGACGGGUGAAAUCCCUCGGCUUAACCGAGGAACUGCCUGUCAGACUGUGAGGCUUGAGACCGGGAGAGGUGAGUGGAAUUCCCAGUGUAGCAGUGAAAUGCGUAGAUAUUGGGAGGAACACCAGUGGCGAAGGCGGCUCACUGGACCGGAACUGACGCUGAGGCGCGAAAGCGUGGGGAGCAAACAGG
rnacentral:rRNA from 1 species